GAGAGAGAGAGAGAGAGUAUGCGUCUGAUGCAUCAACAAAAAAACACGCUUCCUCUCUUUUCCCAUCAGGCACCGGGGCUGUUCAUGCUAGUAGCUAUGCCUGUUUCUUUGAACCACCUCCGAUGUGAUUUGUAAACAGGUUGUGUGUGAGGUCCAACCAUGUCUGAGCUGUUUAUGGAGUGUGAGGAGGAGGAGUUGGAGCCAUGGCAGAGGGCAAUACCGGAAAUCAGUUUGAUUGACGAUGACGAUGAUGACGAACCGAUAUUCGUCGGGGAAAUCUGCAGCUCCAAGCCGACUCCUAACGUCCGAGCAGGUGUUGGCUAUCAGCGUAACCAACCAAAUGUCACAUUCCAACGGGUCACUCCACUGACGUCACCCCAAAAGGCUGGUCAGGCUCAGAUAAACUCCGCCAAACAGUCUCCACAACUCCCUGUCCGAGGUUCCUCACAGCCGGUCUUCAUCCCUGUCAGCUCUCAAUCAGCACCAAUGCAGGCUGGACCCAGAUUACUAAACACCGUCUCCCCUCAGCCUAUCAUCAUCAAUAAUCAGGGUUAUAUAGUGGCGUCACCACAAAACCUCAACAAUAAUAACUCGUCUUUCAUCACAUCCAUGGGCUCUCCGUAUCCACAAGGAACAUCGUUCACUGUUGUGCCAGGUCAGCCAAUGGUGCAGCAGGUCACCGCACCGCCUAAACCAGUGCCAGGGGUCAUCCACCGGCCCCAAGUGCAGUUAAUCCACAACAACGUGGUGACACUGUCUAACGUCCAGGGCCCUGCUGACAUCUCCACCCAGUCUCACUCCAGCACCAGCCCACACUCUAUCCAGCACAGCCCUCAAAGCAAAUCCAGCUCCCUGAUCUCUUCCAAACACGUCCCACAUCCUACUCUACAAGCUGUGAACAACCGGGAUAACGGGAAAAUGAAACGUAGCACCCUGCCCGAGUCGAACAACGGAACGUCUAAAAGAACUAAAAUCGACAUGGAGAACGAGAGCCCCUUGCCUAGGAAGUGUCCUAAAUGUCAUGUUCACUUUAACUUGAUGGAUCCAUUGAAAUCUCACAUGCAGAUCUGCUGCCCAAAUUUAAUGGACACCACCCUCCCGUCAACCUCAAAGACGGACCGAGUCGCCAUGCCAGUGCGAUUGUGUGAAGCGGAGCGAGGGAAGCUCAUCAUGCUGGUGUCGGAGUUUUACUACGGGAAAUGCGAGGGGGAUCAGUCUGCUGCACGUGAGCAGAAGUCCAACACGACGUUCAAGUGCAACAGCUGUUUAAAAAUCCUCAAGAACAAUAUUAGGUUCAUGAAUCACAUGAAGCAUCAUCUGGAGCUGGAAAAACAGAACAGUGAGAGUUGGGAGAGUCACACUACAUGUCAGCACUGUUAUCGGCAGUAUUCCACCCCGUUCCAGCUGCAGUGCCACAUAGAAAGCGCCCACAGCCCCUACGAGUCCACCACUAAUUGUAAGAUUUGUGAAUUGGCCUUUGAGACAGAACAAGUGCUGUUGGAACACAUGAAGGACAAUCACAAGCCAGGGGAGAUGCCGUACAGCUGUCAGGUCUGCAACUACCGAUCGUCAUUCUUCUCAGACGUAGAGAACCAUUUCCGCACCGUCCACGAAAACACUAAAGACCUCCUCUGUCCUUUCUGCCUUAAAGUCCUGCGCAGUGCCCACAUGUACAUGCAGCAUUACAUGAAACACCAGAAAAAAGGAAUUCAACGCUGCGGAAAGUGCAGAUUGAAUUUUCUCACCUACAAGGAGAAAGUGGAACACAAAGCACUUCAUCACCGGACUUAUAAAAAACCAAAAAGCCUUGAAGGACUUCCUCCAGGAACGAAGGUGACAAUUCGAGCUUCACUCAGUGGAGGAUCUACGAUGUGUCCCUCCGCUCCUGGCAAGUCGUACGUCAACCUCAUCCCCACGAGCCCAGACACGGUCAAACCGAAUGCUCACAAGUCCAACUCCAACAUAGGAAAGAUGAAGACAAACCAGAGCAAUAAGAACCGCACAUCCUUACCCAACACUGAGCUCAGAGGCCUGAAACUUGUCCCCGGAGUGCACAAAUGCAUUGAGUGUCAAAAUGAAGUCACGGAACCAUACAGCCAUUACCCUAUAUCACUGAAAUGUUUUGUAUGCAAGUAUCGGACAAGCUGUCAGAAAGCUUUCAGGCGACACAGGCUGAGGUUUCACAGCAGCUCCUCAAAGAUACGAUUAAACAAGGUGAAUAGACCUCUGCGUGGUGUACGGAGUCUGACUCUGGUCUGUUUGAACUGUGAGUUCCUGGCCGACGCAUCUGACGCCAACCGCAUGUGUGAACAUCUAAUCAGCAGACCCAAUCACAGCUGCCAGGUCAUUUUAGAAACAGAUGCAGAUUCGACAGUGGAGAGGUCGACUCUUUGCGACAAUGAUAAGGUUGAGCCCCAAAGUCCGAAAGCAGAAGUGAGCAGUUCUGACAGUUCUGUUGAAACCAAAGUAUCCUCCGAGAUAUCAGGGCCGAAUGAAAUGGAAUCUCUGAGCAUUGCUAACGUAUGGAGCGAAGGAUGCGUCACGGAGCCGAUUAGAAAUGAGGUUACCCCGAUGCAGACUGUUCACCAAGAUGCAGAAGACAAGGCGGAACCUGAAAGCGUGGAGCCUACAGCCGAGAACGGCUCAGUGAGGACAGAACCUCAGGACACUGAUGCUCCCGUCAGCCCUCGCAGCCCAAUCGAAAACGGAGGCGGAGUCAGAGCAGACGACUUCCUGAAUAAAGGUGAUAAAGCAGAGUCCGUAAGUGUGCACUCCCUGCUGGAACCUCUCACUCCAUCCAAGGUCCUCGAAGGCGACGAAGCCGAGAAUGGACCAGAACCGAAGAAAGACCUUUCACCUACCUGUAAAAGAGACAUUGAGGAGGAGGAGACCUCAGGCCUGAUAAGCACCUAGAAAAUUUUAGCUUCAGAGUAGCAUAGGACAAGAACACCUCCAUUUUUACUUUUACAUAUUUUUUAAUCUAGCUAUAAAAACGUACUUAACGGUUGUUACUUAAUGUAAGACUUUCAGCAAUUAUGGAGUGUUCAUCUCUUGGAAGUGACAAGGAAAAAAAAACAUGCUGUUUGUGAUGAAACUUGAAUUAAGGAAGACUGAUUGUGUUACUGUGCUCCAGUACAAAGUAUUUGCCUUUUAUACAGAAUCAUUGUCCAUUUCAGAAACAAACUGAGAGACUGUGAAAUGAACUUUUACCAUAGUCAGCAUUGCUUCCCCCCAAUGUGUAAUACCAUUAACUGCCACACCAGGAACCUGAAUUAUCAUGGACUUUAGGUAAGAUUGUGUCUCAGUACACCGUAUUAUACCACGGUGUACCUGACUGAUCAACAAGCCUUCUCCACAAAACGGAGCUUUAUUGUUUUCAGUGUGAAAUAUUCUUUUAUAAACUUCUUUUAAAUAGGAAAAGAAGAUUCUAUCAGUAUCACUUACACUGUUCUAGUUAUUCAUGCUGGACAAAGGCUCUGGGUUUUAAAGCAUUCCAUUAACUUGAUCUCACUCAGUUUCACUGUGAAGCUGCACAUGAUCCAGAAGCUACACACGAUCCAGAAGCUACACACGAUCCAGAAGCUACACACGAUCCAGAAGCUACACACAAUCCAGAAGCUACACACGAUCCAGAGGGAUGCCAAACAAACGGUUUAUUUGAACGAAAAGACACUUCAUGACUGCACACCUACAAAAUGACACGAUUUAAGUUUCAGUCAGUUUUCAGGUUUCAGAAAUUUGGAGGAAUAAUUGUUGUUUGAAUUUUUUAUAUUAUUGUUUUUUGUGUGUAAAAUCAAUUCAAAUAUUUCCUUUCAUUAUUAAAUAUUUACACAUGCCAUAUUCUCAUUUUGACGGUAUAAAUCUGUUACUCCUCUUUGGAGCCUUUUAUGUAAAAGUUUGUAAGUUACUGCGUCAUGUCUUUAAAAUUGUGUGAUACACUAUAUUGCCAAAAGUUUUGCGACACCCCUCCAAAUCAUUGAGUUCAGGGGUUGGGCUUGGCCCCUUAUUUCCAGUGAA